rnacentral:rRNA from 1 species
GUAAACCCAAGGUUUCCAGGGGAAGGUUCGUCCGCCCUGGGUUAGUCGGGACCUAAGCUGAGGCCGAAAGGCGUAGGUGAUGGACAACAGGUUGAUAUUCCUGUACUACCGAUAACCGUUUGAGAGAAGGGAUGACACAGUAGGAUAAGCUAAGCACACUGUUGGUUAUGUGUGCCCAAGCAUUGAGGCAGUCAAAGUAGGCAAAUCCGCUUUGAUAAUGCUGGGAUGUGAUGGGGAGCGAAAUUUAGUAGCGAAGUAGCUGAUUUCACACUGUCAAGAAAAGUCUCUAUCGAGGUUAAAGGUACCCGUACCGCAAACCGACACAGGUGGGUGAGGAGAGUAUCCUAAGGCCAGCGAGAGAACUGUUGUUAAGGAACUCGGCAAAAUGACCCCGUAACUUAGGGAUAAGGGGUGCCACCAUCAGGUGGCCGCAGAGAAUAGGCCCAAGCGACUGUUUACCAAAAACAUAGGUUUCUGCUAAGUCGCAAGACGAUGUAUAGGAGCUGACGCCUGCCCGGUGCUGGAAGGUUAAGGGGAUCUGUUAGAGCAAUCGAAGCAGUGAACUUAAGCCCCAGUAAACGGCGGCCGUAACUAUAACGGUCCUAAGGUAGCGAAAUUCCUUGUCGGGUAAGUUCCGACCCGCACGAAAGGCGUAACGAUUUGGGCACUGUCUCAACAACAGACUCGGUGAAAUUGUAAUUCCGGUGAAGAUGCCGGAUACCUGCGACAGGACGGAAAGACCCCAUGGAGCUUUACUGUAGCUUGACAUUGGGUCUUGGUACUACAUGUACAGGAUAGGU